rnacentral:rRNA from 1 species
UACGUAGGUGGCAAGCGUUAUCCGGAUUUAUUGGGCGUAAAGGGAACGCAGGCGGUCUUUUAAGUCUGAUGUGAAAGCCUUCGGCUUAACCGGAGUAGUGCAUUGGAAGCUGGGAGACUUGAGUGCAGAAGAGGAGAGUGGAACUCCAUGUGUAGCGGUGAAAUGCGUAGAUACAUGGAAGAACACCAGUGGCGAAAGCGGCUCUCUGGUCUGUAACUGACGCUGAGGUUCGAAAGCGUGGGUAGCAAACAGG